AUUGAACGCUGGCGGCAUGCUUUACACAUGCCAGUCGAACGGCAGCGCGGGCUUCGGCCUGGCGGCGAGUGGCGAACGGGUGAGUAAUGUAUCGGAACGUGCCCAGUAGUGGGGGAUAGCCCGGCGAAAGCCGGAUUAAUACCGCAUACGACCUGAGGGUGAAAGCGGGGGACCGAAAGGCCUCGCGCUAUUGGAGCGGCCGAUGUCGGAUUAGCUAGUUGGUGGGGUAAAGGCUUACCAAGGCGACGAUCCGUAGCUGGUCUGAGAGGACGACCAGCCACACUGGGACUGAGACACGGCCCAGACUCCUACGGGAGGCAGCAGUGGGGAAUUUUGGACAAUGGGGGCAACCCUGAUCCAGCCAUGCCGCGUGCGGGAAGAAGGCCUUCGGGUUGUAAACCGCUUUUGUUCGGGAAGAAAUCCUCUGGGCUAAUACCCCUGGGGGAUGACGGUACCGGAAGAAUAAGCACCGGCUAACUACGUG
rnacentral:rRNA from 1 species